rnacentral:misc_RNA from 1 species
AAAAUUCAAACCUUAAACAAUUUAAAAUAUCUACUAGCACAAAUUUGUUUUCUUAAUUUUCUCUAAUUGUUGAAUAAAAUCUUACAACAAGAUGUUCCAAAAAUUUUUUACAUGAUGCUAAACCUUCCAAAUUAAAUCUUACUAUAUCAGUGAUAAUAGCCCCAAUUCAACUUUACCAAACAAAAAAAGUUGUGGGAAAUCAUUAAAAGAAAAUUUCCUAGGAUUCAUAGUCAAAUUAUUAAAUCAUCCAUAUUCAAAUUGGAAAUUUCUAUAAUAAUAUUGCUUCAAAAUUGUAAUUGACCUCAUAUGUCAAGUGU